rnacentral:lncRNA from 1 species
ACACGAAGACGCUCCCAUCGGUUGAUAUAAAAGAGAAAUAUGUGUGUGGGAUACUGGAGAAGCAUUUAUGAGUAGGGCCGUAGAUGAAAACAAUAUGAAUUGAACAAUUGGGGUUUUGUAAUUAAAUAGGAAAGCAGUAUGACUAAAUGAGGCACGACCCAUGCAUCUUACAUGUGCUCCACAUACCACUUCCGGGCCUUGCUUUCCCUAAAACUGAUUCAUCCCCAUGGUCAGUCCA